rnacentral:rRNA from 1 species
ACGAACGCUGGCGGCGCGCCUAACACAUGCAAGUCGAACGGGAUGAAUUUUCUCACUGAGUUUUUUGCGAGUCAGCCGGAAGCGCCAUUGAUGCGAAGCAUCAAUUAGGCUUAUUCCAGUAAGACUGACACAAAGGGCAAAAGACUGAGUGAGGAAAUUCAUUCAGUGGCGAACGGGUGAGUAACGCGUGAGGAACCUGCCUCAAAGAGGGGGACAACAGUUGGAAACGACUGCUAAUACCGCAUAAGCCCACAGCUCGGCAUCGAGCAGAGGGAAAAGGAGCAAUCCGCUUUGAGAUGGCCUCGCGUCCGAUUAGCUGGUUGGUGAGGUAACGGCCCACCAAGGCGACGAUCGGUAGCCGGACUGAGAGGUUGAACGGCCACAUUGGGACUGAGACACGGCCCAGACUCCUACGGGAGGCAGCAGUGGGGAAUAUUGCACAAUGGGGGAAACCCUGAUGCAGCGACGCCGCGUGGAGGAAGAAGGUCUUCGGAUUGUAAACUCCUGUUGUUGAGGAAGAUAAUGACGGUACUCAACAAGGAAGUGACGGCUAACUACGUGCCAGCAGCCGCGGUAAAACGUAGGUCACAAGCGUUGUCCGGAAUUACUGGGUGUAAAGGGAGCGCAGGCGGGAGGACAAGUUGGAAGUGAAAUCCAUGGGCUCAACCCAUGAACUGCUUUCAAAACUGUUUUUCUUGAGUAGUGCAGAGGUAGGCGGAAUUCCCGGUGUAGCGGUGGAAUGCGUAGAUAUCGGGAGGAACACCAGUGGCGGAGGCGGCCUACUGGGCACCAACUGACGCUGAGGCUCGAAAGUGUGGGUAGCAAACAGGAUUAGAUACCCUGGUAGUCCACACCGUAAACGAUGAUUACUAGGUGUUGGAGGAUUGACCCCUUCAGUGCCGCAGUUAACACAAUAAGUAAUCCACCUGGGGAGUACGACCGCAAGGUUGAAACUCAAAGGAAUUGACGGGGGCCCGCACAAGCAGUGGAGUAUGUGGUUUAAUUCGACGCAACGCGAAGAACCUUACCAAGACUUGACAUCCUGCUGACCGUCUGAGUAAUGUCGGACUUUUCUUCGGAACAGCAGAGACAGGUGGUGCAUGGUUGUCGUCAGCUCGUGUCGUGAGAUGUUGGGUUAAGUCCCGCAACGAGCGCAACCCUUAUGGUCAGUUACUACGCAAGAGGACUCUGGCCAGACUGCCGUUGACAAAACGGAGGAAGGUGGGGAUGACGUCAAAUCAUCAUGCCCUUUAUGACUUGGGCUACACACGUACUACAAUGGCGUUAAACAAAGAGAAGCAAGACCGCGAGGUGGAGCAAAACUCAGAAACAACGUCCCAGUUCGGACUGCAGGCUGCAACUCGCCUGCACGAAGUCGGAAUUGCUAGUAAUCGUGGAUCAGCAUGCCACGGUGAAUACGUUCCCGGGCCUUGUACACACCGCCCGUCAAGCCAUGAAAGCCGGGAGUGCCUGAAAGCCGUGACCGCGAGGGUCGGUCUAGGGUAAGACCGGUGAUUGGGGCU